CGGUAGUAGAGGUUCAGAUGUAGGCCAUUCAUUAGAAGGUAGCGCCAGCCAAGCUGGCCCAGAGAUCCAAAUGCUGCUUUUUAUAAAAUCGGGUGCCGUCAUGCCCCGCGAAACGAGAUCAGCCGGGUUCUGCUGUCCAGGUAUUUGGAGCUGCUUUGAUCCAAUGUAGUGUAAUACUGGAAUCGGACCAGAAAUGUACCGACUGCACAGGAAGCUGAAUGGCUUUGGCAAUGUGCUCGUACAGAUGAGCCCCUAAUACGGCACCGCAGAGUUCUAAACGAGGCAGGCUUAUACGCUUCAAUGGAGCUACUCUAGAUUUCGAUGCAAGCAAAGAUAUUUUAAUAUUCCCCUCGGCAUCCUCGCACCUUGCAUAAACGCAUGAGCCAUAUGCCGACUCUGAAGCAUCAGUAAAUAUGUGCAGUUGCACAUUCGAUCGUAAGGCGAAACAGUAUCGUUCGAUUCUAUAGCAAGUCAGAAUCUCCAACUUCUCAUAAAAAUCUUUCCAUUUCAGCCCAAAUGACUCUGGUACAGUCUCAUCCCAGCCAAUCGAUAGCGCCCAAAGCUGCUGCAUCAUUAUUUUUGCUCGCACUACGACAGGAGCGAUAAGACCCAACGGGUCAAAUAAUCGAGCUAUCUCCGAACAAAUGCUCCGUUUAGUAGAGGGUAACUGCAGUGGCUUGAUGCUUGAUGCAAAGCAUAAAUUAUCGCGCUCAGGUUCCCAGCAGACACCUAGGGCUUUUAUAGUUUCGUCGGUAUCAAACUGCAGUGAUGAUUUGGUUCCGAUUUGAGAAGCAUCGAGCUCUUGCAAAACCUCCAAACGAUUUGAGGUCCACUUUCGUAAUGGAAAGCCGCCCUUUAGCAUCAUUCCAGUUAGCUCCGAUCGGAGCUGUAUAGCUUCCUCAACAGAUGAUGCCCCGCCAAUGAAGUCAUCUACGUAGAAAUUGCGAAUCGCACGACUAGCAAGAGGGUAAUUGCUUCCUUCGUCCUGCACUAAUUGAAGCAAGGUGCGCGUAGCUAGGAAAGAGGAAGGAGCCAAACCGUAUGUGACAGUAUUCAGUUCAUACUCUUUUACUGGUGAUGUUGAUGAGAAUCGAAACAAUAUUCUCACUAAUGCGCGGUCAUCUUCAUGCAAGAGGAUUUGACGGUACAUUUUUUCGAUAUCUCCGACUAAGGCCACAAAAUAGGUGCGAAAACGCAAAAUAAUGUCCAACAGCUCAUCUUGCACUAUAGGUCCCACACAUAGUGCUUCGUUGAGGGAGUAGCCUGUAGAUGUUUUCGCGGAGCCGUCAAAGACUACUCUCACCUUAGUACUGCUGGAACUGCUCUCCUUUAUGACUGGGUGAUGAGGCAGAUAAAAGGUUUUCGUUGGGCUUGACGCAUUUUCAUUAACAGGCUGCAUGUGUCCGAGAUCUAUAUAUUCUUGCAUGAAGGCAUGAUACUCCUUCUUCAAUUGCGAAUUUCGGGAUAGGCGCUUUUCUAAUGAGUAGAAUCGGCGCAACGCCUGGCCUUUUGACUCGCCCAAGCGUACCGAGAACUCUGGAUGUUUAGGCAUCUGCACCACGUAUCGUCCGUCACUAUUUCUUCCAGUCUUCGAUCUAUACAGCUCUUCGCAAUGCUUUUCUUCUACUGAAUAUGGUUCGCAUGCAUGUAGCUCCUCUGCCUUCCAAAACUGCUCUAUUUUUUCUUCUAAAGAAACCAUUGAUACUCGUGUUGGGUUUGAGUGAGGAUUAACGACCUCCUCGCUGGCUGGACCGACUACAAGCCACCCAAACACGCUGUUGAUCAGUAUUGGUAAUUUAUCUGCCAGAUAAAUACGCUCUGCAGUUGGAAAAAAGGUGUAAAAAUGCUCUGCUCCGAUUAUCAUAUCUAUUGAUUCGGCCUGAUUAAAAUGAGGGUCCGCCAGGGAUAGUCCAGGCGGAAUGUUCCAGCGGCUUAUAUUAAUGUGGUGGGAAGGAAGUUUUGCAGCUACUUCAUCCAUUAGCAGGAAAUUUACUCCACAAGAAAAUUGGCUGGUGCGAGAUCGAAUUUCAGCAUACACGGACUCCCGCACCCUCGUCGUAGCACAACCAGCACCUUUAACGUCAAUGUCCAAUCUGGAAGUAGGUAGACCUAUUAAUUUUGCCAAUCUUUUGCUUAUUAGGUUAGGUUGUGAUGCACUAUCUAAUAAUGCUCUUGCUGGAUGGUGAUUGCCAAACGCAUCCACAACAAUGACAAUAGUAGUGAGUAAGAAUACCUCUCGUUGGUCCGCUGCUCGGUUUUCGUUUUCCAAUGCUGCUGUGCUGUUAAAUGAAGCGCUAGGAGCUACCUGAGGGCUAGUAUGUAGUGUUCGGUCGUGGGUGUGCUGCCGGCGUACAAAAUCAAAAGAGUGCAAUAAAGAAUGAUGUUGCUGGUUGCAAUGUUUGCACCGAUUGGUCGAAGGACAAUCUUUCAUGCUGUGGUCGACUCUUAAACAAUUAAUGCAGAGACCCUUCGCUCGCACUAUCUGAAGGCGCUCAGAUUGCGGAAGUCGCAUAAAUUGGUUACAGUACCAUAAUAAGUGAUCUAGUCGACAGCAAGGACAUCGUUUGGUAUUAUUUGCGGUGUACGAAUAGUACGAAAGAUGCGAAGAAGGCCUUACGGCAGGCACCGAUGUAGAGCUUACAUCCGCAGAUUUACUCAUAUAAACAGAGUCUAAUGUUUUCAUUCUUCUCUGCAGAAAUUCUAUUAACGCCUCAUAUGUUGGCUUUUUCAUGCUAGCUGCCUUGUCUUCCCAAUGUGUAAGAGUUUCCGCUGGUAGUUUGGAGCACAAAACAUAUUCUAACAUUGAGCUCCAUUGGUCGGUUGGCUCUCCUAGCUUUUGAAUCAUUUUUACAUGCCGAUUAAAUUCAUCUACCAAUCUAUGCAAGUCAGCUGACGAUUCUUUUCGUAAUUGUGGGAUGCCGAACAUUUGCUUAAAGUGCAUCUUUUGCAGAAGGUAUUCAUUUGAGAAUCGCUCCUUGAGCUCCUGCCAUGCGAUGGAGUAAUUCGAUGCGCACAAUGGGAUCGACUCUAUCAAUCUAGCGGCCUCACCAGUUAAUGAAGCUCUCAAAUAAUGGAAUUUUUGAAUAUCCAAAACGCUUGCAUUGUUAUGAACUAAUGCUUCAAAGGUAUCAUGAAAUGCCAUCCAGUGCAUUAUAUCACCGUUAAAUUCGGGCAAAGAGAUGGCUGGUAAUUUAACGUGGUUUUGAAUGGGAGAGUGGCUUGGGUUUUGAGCGUGGCUUGAGCCAAGCUCAGAGCUAACGGCUUGAGCUGUUUGAGUAGGCAUGUGCGAUAGCAUGGCGCUUUUCAUAGCUAUGAACCUUUCCUCAAAAUUAUCCAUCAACUCCUCUUCUUCUAGCUUCUCAGCUUCACUGGGCGCUAACAAACACAAUUGCGUAUGAGCCGUUUCAAACUCCUUUUCCAUACCUUCAAUCGUUUGGAGCCUGACAGGCACGAGAUGCUUGUGUUGUUCAGGCUGGAAGUUCGCUAUGAAAACCUCAUUUCGUUUCAGCUUCGUGAAUAAAGAAUUCAACCGUUGUCUUAGGCUCGCAAUUUCGGUCAUCUUUAUACUUGACCUGUUGAGAUGGCAGGAUUCGGGAAAACAGUUGCAAUGACGAUGGCAGGGAAACACACACAGAUGAUGACGGAUGGCUGUUCCAAACUGCGACUGGCGGGAAACACACGAUUACGAAGACGGAUAUCACACGCGCGAAAACAACCGGUUGCGACACGGAAGAUAAGCUGACGUUUUCUCACACUAAUGUUCAACGGAUUGGACAGUAACUUAACUUUAGUGUUCUUUGUAACAAGACGUUACACGAUUCAAAGACGAACGAAAUCUUAUAUUAUAAUAAAGGCAAGACGCCUCACAGCUUUUUUUUACGC